rnacentral:misc_RNA from 1 species
GAUGAAGAACGUAGCGAAAUGCGAUAAGUAAUGUGAAUUGCAGUAUUCAGUGAAUCAUCGAAACUUUGAACGCACAUUGCGCCCGCCAGUAUUCUGGCGGGCAUGCCUGUUCGAGCGUCAUUACAACCCUCAGGCCCCCGGGCCUGGCGUUGGGGAUCGGCGGAGCCCCCCGUGGGCACACGCCGUCCCCCAAAUGCAGUGGCGGUCCCGCCGCAGCUUCCAUCGCGUAGUAGCUAACACCUCGCGACUGGAGAGCGGCGCGGCCACGCCGUAAAACACCCAACUCUUCUGAAGUUGACCUCGAAUCAGGUAGGAAUACCCGCUGAACUUAAGCAUAUCAAUAAGCGGAGGA